rnacentral:lncRNA from 1 species
UCUCAAGAGUCGAUCCUAAAACUGAGUUAGGAGGGGCCCACCCAGGAGGCAGAUUCUAGGUCUCGAUUUGCCCCCAUGUGACCUUGGACAAGUCAGUUGCCCUCUCCGAGCCUCAGUUUCUCUACUUCCAAAAUGAGGACAAUAAUCAUCAUCAUCAUCAUCAUCUCCUCCCCCACUCUCCCUCUGUUGCAUGGAUCCAAGGGUCUGGGUUGUCAGAUCCACGGAGCUGUGUGUACUAAAUGCCAUACACGUCGGACGAUUGCCAGACGGUGACUGGACACGUCACACACAGAUUGGAAAAAGGCCCACAGAACAGGGCUAAGCCCGCUUCCACAUGUGGGAACGUCUGUCCAUCUGUGGUCAUGACUGCUGUCCCAGCCUGGCCUCUUUGUCACUUCGGAAUGGAGAAGUGGCUGUGGGAAUGGCCUCCUUGUCUGCAAGGGGCUGACAUGGGCCCUGGGCAGAGCGCGUGGGGACAGGGCUCCAGAAGCUGAAGUGGAAACGUUCCCGUGAGCCACCCCAUGCGAUCCUGCCUCUGCCCAGCUGUCCUGAGGCAGGACCAGGUGCCUGUGGUUGAGGAACUAGAACUUCUCAGCCAGAAGAGGUUGGUGCAAAUCCUCGCUCUGCCCCUCACUGGCCAAGUGGCCUUGGGCACUCUCCUCUCUGAACCUCGGAUUCUCAGCUGGGCAGUGGGGACCCAAGGACUCGAGGCCCCGAGAGAGGCACUUUAGAUGAUGCAGGCAGAGCACCUAGUAGCCUGCACACGGUGGGUGACUCUCCCGGCAGGUGGUAGCAGAGGGGCAACAAAGUCAAGGUCACCAAGCUCUGUGCUCACUGACAGGCGGGACAAACAGGGCACUGCACACCUAGCAUAGUGUGGCUAGUGCUGAGUGAAGGGGGUGUGGGUGCUAGAGAGGGACAUCAGGGACUGUCACUCAGCUGGGGUGCUGCAAGGUUCACGGGAGCACUGCCUCUCCUUGGAUGGGCAACAGCCUAGUGACGGAGAGUGGGGACAUCCCUGGAAGAUGACAACUUGAAGCCACACACAGGUCCUUCUGCUCCAAAGGCAAACCCCAUGACUUUAGGGGUGUGUGCGGGGGCCACAGGAAAACCAGUUUCUUCCUCAUUUCAAG